ensembl:lncRNA
CCUCUUCUGUGUGUGAAGGAAGACACAGUGAGAAGGUGCCGGCCACAAACCAGGAAAGCUCCGUCACCAGGACCCAACCACGCUGGCAACUUAUCCUGAACUUCCAGCCUCCAGAACUAUCAGCCCUGAGCUAACAUCUGCUGCCAAUCCUCCUCUUUUUGCUGAGGAAGACUGGCUCUGAGCUAACAUCCGUGCCAAUCUUCCUCUACUUUAUAUGUGGGACGCCUACCACAGCAUGGCGGGACAAGUGGUGCCAUGUCCACACCCUGGAUCCCAACCGGCAAACCCCGGGCCGCUGAAGUGGAAUGUUCAAACUUAACCGCUGCACCCUUCUCAUCUUUUUUAAAGAAAGGAAUGAAAAAACUUUACGCUGCCACUCUUGCUAUUGCUCCCACCAAACUUCUUUAAGUUUUUGAAAAUGUCUCAGCGUGCUUUGCCAUGUGUGGCUGAAAGUCGGACGUGCUGUACUGAGAAAAGGAGCCGCGGUAAACAGCCCUUGAUGUGUGGGGUCUUGUGUUAUCACGCCAGCGGUUGGACCUCCAGACUCAGCCUCAGCAGCCCACGGACAUUCCCGUGAAGACUUCCUACCAGAGCACGGCUUCCCUGCCUUCUGCCCGGGGAGCAGAUCUUCACUGUGACUUUCUGGAUUUGCCUGUCUCUGCAGAUUGCAGGAGACAUGAUGAGGAUCAUAUUACAGUUGCAAUAAUGGAAGUAGAGUGAACGACACAAGGCACUUCAAGUCACAAGUGACCAAGGACACGCUGCUCAGUUGGGCCACCAAGGUGGCUGGGCCACUUCUACUACCAGGAAGCUACCACAUCCAGAGUCACAUCCUCCGCCUGGUCAGGAACCUGACCUGGGCAGGCAGCAUCCACAAUCAGAAGCCUUAGCUUCUACUGCUGGCAUUUACAUCCGUGAAGCUCACUUAUCAUAGUCCACACUGGUAAACACACGUCCCAGGCCCUGCCCCUUGACACGCCCGACACUGGACACUGAAACCACUGUUCAUUUGCUUCAAAAAACCAAAUGCCUCCAUAUCUGUACUUGCCGGCAGAAAGGGAAGUUGCAUCAAAAGCUUGGUUUCUGCUCACUUUCACCUUCCAAAUAUCAUGCAAGGCCAAUCUUACUGCCUGAAUUUAAAUCCCAACUGGAACCCCAGUUCCAAAGAAGUCUGGGAAGUGCAGUCUCCAGUUUCGCACCAUCUAAAUGCAAGAGGUAUUGGAAGGGGAGUAGACCACUCAUCAAGUGCAGAUUCACCGUCUCCAUGCCGGACGCCACAGAACCUUAUAAAACUCUGAGAGCUCGUGUUUACAUUAAAUACAACAGUCACCAGACUGCAAGACAACGACAUUAAACAAAAUCACCUUAAUAAUGUAGAUAGUAAUAUUAAAUUUGUUAAUUGGCUGGGACAAAUGCUGAAAAUAAAUGCAGAUUUGAAAUCCAAAGCUUCAAGAACUGCUCAGGUGUAUUCAUAGACAAGUGAUGGGGUGAUUAACAGAAUCAGAGGAUGUUUUAGGUUUUGUGUGCAUGACUUUUGAGAUUAAUGUCCCGGGCAGCAUCUCUCAAUUCUGGCUGCCAGCAUAAUCACUUCAAGAACUUUAAAGAAAAUACCAAUGUCCAGACUCCUUCCUUGAUUAAUUUAAACAGAAUUUCUGGUGCCCAAAGAUCCGAAGGUGAAGCUGAUAGGCAUCUGGUCUGAGCAUCACUGGUUUAGCAUGGAAAUCAGUCCUUCCAGAAACACAUCUCUGUUAAACAAAAACUUGAAGGCUGUUGAGCCCAUGGGUCUGAUGUGGAAUAGUAUUAAUUAUGAUGAUUAAAAAUGGAGUAUACAUAGCAACUUUAUGAUAGCUUUAGGUGCAUUCUCACUAGAUAAUAGUUUACCUGUGAUUUUGAUCACACCAAAGAUUUGAUUUGGACAACCAUAUUCAUUUGAAAAGGAAAAAACAAUCAUCUGAUUAUCUAAUAGUAACACACAAAAUUUUUUAAAGGUAAGGAAAGAAAUUAGAUUAUAAAUGGUAGAUUAUAUAGUGUUUUAUGACUACGAAGUAUAUUUUAUUUGGAAUUAAUUUCAGAGAUGGACAUUCCUAUUUUGCAAUGGACUAAUAUAUGCUUUUCUUUUGACAAAAAGCAUUACAUUUUGGAAAAACUUUUCCUUAAAAUAAUAAUUUCUGUGACUUAAGAAAAAGUUUUUAUACAUCAUUAAUAAAAUAUGAUCUGUUACAAACUAUAUUACACAUAUUAAAGCUAUAUAUUCUCCCAGUUGUCUUUUGAUUAUUAUAUAAUAAACAUGAACAUAUAUUCUAGAAUUAAUUAUGAUACAACACCUAAGGAAAUUGUUAACAUUGUGUGAAUUCUUCUAAAAUUCAGCAUUUAGCACAGUGUAUUGCACACUCUAAACACCAAAUAAAUUGUUUUUUAGUAGAUUCACAUUGGAAUUAUCCAGCAAGGGAAAAGAUAAUCACUACCAAGAGAGGAAAACACAUUACUCAUCUUCAUGAAAUUCUCUUUACAUAAAUCACAGCUGCUUUCUACACAGUGUUAAGUAACCAUCUAGGGUGGAGGUGAAUUCCUUGUAUUUUUCUGCAUUCCAUUAUCAUUUAUCAAAUGCCUCACUUGGAUCUUAUAGAUAUUAAUUUUCCAGUUAUUUUACUUAAUAAAGCUUUCAAAACUUAUGAGUGAAAAGGCCAAGGGAGAAAAGAUUAAAAACUGUAAAAUUAAGAGAAUGGUACAAUAUCAAUACAUGAAAGAAAGAAAUAUUAAUGUUAUGGAUCUAAAUAGUCUCUUCACUGGUUUAUAAUUUUAAGGAAAACCAAAGUAAUCCACACUUCUCAUGUUUUCCUUUAAGAUUUCACUUAUUCAUGUUUUCAGGUAUUUUUAUAUUUCAGGUAUUUUAUUUUCAGGCCUGAAAUUUUUAAUAGGCCAAUUUAAAAUGUACCUACAUUUCUACAUAGUUUGAUCUAUUCAACAGGACUCCCCUCUCCAAAAACAGUCACUAAGCUUUAAUACUCAUGAAUGAGUCUAUUUGAGCUUUGAUGAUUUAUCAGUUUAUGUUGCUGUGUUCUCACUCCUACUGGAAAAUAUUUACAAUUUUAGAUAUUGGACCAUUUUCAUUACAUUCUUCCUCCUUAGACUACUUGCUGUGAUUGGAGAAGCUGACAUGGACUAAAUUUCUCCGGAAGAUAUAACAUGCACUGGGUCAUUCAAUGUCCCUUCGAUCCCCUUUUGCAUGCCUUUCUAAAUAUGGGGCAACGUCUGAAAAGCUAAAAAGUAAAUUUAAGAGACUCCUUUGCAGCCACUGUUUUAGAAUCUUCCAGGUGGAAACUCUAACAGAGAAUUAGGAGAGAGGGAGCGACUUAAGCUCCAGGAGAAGAGAGCUACCUCCUGUAAACACAUCAGAGGAGGCAGUUUGCUCUGUUGCAGCUCAAGCAGAGAUUCUAGCAUUCUAGAUUCUAGUUCCUGUUGUCACGGGUGCCAGGCGGCAUGAGUCAGCGUUGGCACGGUUUCCAGCAGAACAGACCUGCAGUUGAGUGUUUCCCUUGGCCCCCUCAGUUCUGGGCUGAAUCUAGCAACACUCCCACCUCUAACUCCUCUAAGCCUAUA